rnacentral:misc_RNA from 1 species
GUGAUGUUAAGAAAUGGCCAAUGACUUGGACUUAGAUACUGUGAUGUUAUCCCAUUACUUUAUGAGUUCAGAUACUGUGAAAGCAAUCAGAACCUUGCUAUCCUGAUCAACUGAUUUUUUUCUUCUCUUGAUCUGGUGUGAUAAAACUUAUUCAAGACAAUGGCUUAACAUGCAACUAGAUUAGCAUUUGUAGAAAUUAGAAGUGGAAGAAAAAGGGAAUCGAAAUGAGGGGAUACGAUUGAAGAUAAAGCCUGGUGGUCAACUUUAUCUCCCAGCCAAAACAACUCAACUCAACUCAACUAA